rnacentral:lncRNA from 1 species
AUGAACAAAGCUAGUGGAGGUGAUGGAAUUCCAGUAGAGCUGUUUCAAAUCCUGAAAGAUGAUGCUCUGAAAGUCCUGCACUCAAUAUGCCAGCAAAUUUGGAAAACUCAUCAGUGGCCACAGGACUGGAAAAGGUCAGUUUUCAUUCCAAUCUCAAAGAAAGGCAAUGCCAAAGAAUGCUCAAACUACCACACAAUUGCACUCAUCUCACAUGCUAGUAAAGUAAUGCUCAAAAUUCUCCAAGCCAGGCUUCAGCAAUACAUGAACCAUGAACUUCCUGAUGUUCAAGCUGGGUUUAGAAAAGGCAGAGGAACCAGAGAUCAAGUUGCCAACAUCCGCUGGAUCAUGGAAAAAGCAAGAGAGUUCCAGAAAAACAUCUAUUUCUGCUUUAUUGACUAUGCCAAAGCCUUUGCCUGUGUGGAUCACAAUAAACUGUGGAAAAUUCUGAAAGAGAUGGGAAUACCAGGCCACCUGACCUGCCUCUUGAGAAACCUUUAUGCAGGUCAGGAAGCAACAGUUAGAACUGGACAUGGAACAACAGACUGGUUCCAAAUAGGAAAAGGAGUCCGUCAAGGCUGUAUAUUGUCACCCUGCUUAUUUAACUUAUAUGCAGAGUACAUCAUGAGAAACACUGGACUCAAAGAAACACAAGCUGAAAUCAAGAUUGCUGGGAGAAAUAUCAAUCACCUCAGAUAUUCAGAUGACACCAUCCUUAUGGCAGAAAGUGAAGAGGAACUAAAAAGCCUCUUGAUGAAAGUGAAAGAGGAGAGUGAAAUAGUUGGCCUAAAGCUCCACAUUCAGAAAACGAAGGUCAUGGCAUCCGGUCCCAUCACUUUAUGGGAAAUAGAUGGGGAAACAGUGGAAACAGUGUUAGACUUUAUUUUGGGGGGCUCCAAAAUCCCUGCAGAUGGUGACUGCAGCCAUGAAAUUAAAAGACGCUUACUCCUUGGAAGAAAAGUUAUGAUCAACCUAGAUAGUAUAUUCAAAAGCAGAGACAUUACUUUGCCGACUAAGGUCCAUCUAGUCAAGGCUAUGGUUUUUCCAGUAGUUAUGUAUGGAUGUGAGAGUUGGACUGUGAAGAAGGCUGAGCACUGA